AUUCCUUCCUAGGAUGGGCGGUAUGAGC
rnacentral:piRNA from 1 species